rnacentral:rRNA from 1 species
AGAGAAGUUACUAAGGGUGCACGGUGGAUGCCUUGGCUCUCAGAGGCGAGGAAGGACGUGAUAAGCUGCGAUAAGCUGUGGGGACUGGCCAAUACGGACCGAUCCGCAGAUUUCCGAAUGGGGAAACCCGAUUGUUUGAAGAACAAUCAUUCCGCAAGGAAGGCAAACCUCGAGAACUGAAACAUCUUAGUAUCGAGAGGAAGAGAAAACAAAUGUGAUUUCCUGAGUAGUGGCGAGCGAAAUGGAAAUAGCCUAAACCGAUUGGACUUCGGUCCGGUCGGGGUUGUGGGACCACAAUAUGACAAGUGAACAUGAACUGGAACUGUAUGGAAAGGCAGGCCAUAGAAGGUGAAAGCCCUGUACGGGUAAGCGUUCAUGCAUCUAGUGGUAUCCCGAGUAGGACGGAGCAGGUGAAACUUUGUCUGAAUCUACCAGCACCAUCUGGUAAGGCUAAAUACUCCUGAGAGACCGAUAGUGAACUAGUACCGUGAGGGAAAGGUGAAAAGUACCCUGAAUAAGGGGAUGAAAUAGUAUCUGAAACCGUGCACUUACAAGCGGUCGGAGGCCUUUUUGGGCUGACGGCGUGCCUUUUGCAUAAUGAGCCUACGAGUUACUCUUCCCUGGCAAGGUUAAGUGAUUAUGUCACGGAGCCGAAGCGAAAGCAAGUCUUAACAGGGCGUAUAGUCAGGGGAGGUAGACGCGAAACUUGGUGAUCUACCCAUGUCCAGGAUGAAGGGCUGGUAACACAGUCUGGAGGUCCGAACCAGUAGACGUUGAAAAGUCUUUGGAUGAGGUGUGGGUAGGGGUGAAAGGCCAAUCAAACCAAGAGAUAGCUCGUACUCCUCGAAAUGUUUUUAGGAACAGCGUAGAGGUCGAGUCUUAGAGAGGUAGAGCUACUGAUAGGACUAGGGGGAGUCAAAUCCUACCAAAUCCUGACAAACUCCGAAUGCUCUAAGAUAUACUCUGCAGUGAGGGCAUGGGUGCUAAGGUCCAUGUCCGAGAGGGUAAGAACCCAGACCUACAGCUAAGGUCCCUAAGUAUAUGCUAAGUUGAGAUAAGGAGGUCUUAUUGCACAGACAGCCAGGAUGUUGGCUUGGAAGCAGCCAUUCAUUUAAAGAGUGCGUAACAGCUCACUGGUCAAGCGCUAGGGCACCGAGAAUAAUCGGGCAUCAAGCAUAUCACCGAAGCUUAGGGCCUUCCCUUCGUGGAAGGCGGUAGAGGAGCAUUCCAAGGGUGUUGAAGGAGAAGAGUGAUCUUUUCUGGAACGCUUGGAAGAGCAAAUGUAGGCAUAAGUAACGAUCAUGUAGGUGAAAAACCUACACGCCGAAAGACUAAGGUUUCCCGGGCUAUGCUAAUCAGCCCGGGGUUAGUCGGAUCCUAAGGUCAAGCCGAAGGGCGUAGCCAAUGGACAAUCGGUUAAUAUUCCGAUACUACCUUUGGUAGUUAUGUGGUGACGGAGGAGUGACAGAGUUGCGUACUGACGGAAUAGUACGUUGAAGGGAGGUAGGUAUAGAAUUCGUAGGUAAAUCCGCGUUUUCUGCCGAGACCCGAUAGUACCACAACUUUUCGGAGGCGUGGAUAAUGCUCGUAAUCAUACUCCCAAGAAAAACCGCUAAACUUAUAUCAAAGGUAUCCGUACCGUAAACCGACACAGGUAGUUGGGGUGAGAAUCCUAAGGUGCUCAAGUGAUUCAUGGCUAAGGAACUAGGCAAAAUGGUUCUGUAACUUCGGAAGAAGGAACGCCUCCCUUAUCUUGAUAAGGAGGCCGCAGUGAAAGGAUCCAGGCGACUGUUUAGCAAAAACACAUGACUAUGCGAAAUCGUAAGAUGAGGUAUAUGGUCUGACACCUGCCCGGUGCUGGAAGGUUAAGGAAAGGGGUUAAUCUUUAUUGAUGAAGCUCCUGACCGAAGCCCCGGUAAACGGCGGCCGUAACUAUAACGGUCCUAAGGUAGCGAAAUUCCUUGUCGGGUAAGUUCCGACCUGCACGAAUGGUGUAACGAUCUGGGCACUGUCUCAGCCACGAGCUCGGUGAAAUUGAAGUAUCGGUGAAGAUGCCGGUUACCCACAG